CCCUUAGACGUUCUGGGCCGCACGCGCGCUACACUGACACAGGCAACGAGCUUUCCUUUACCGAAAGGUAUGGGUAAUCUUUUGAAACUGUGUCGUGCUGGGGAUAGAUCCUUGCAAUUUUUGAUCUUAAACGAGGAAUUCCUAGUAAGCGCGAGUCAUCAGCUCGUGCUGAUUACGUCCCUGCCCUUUGUACACACCGCCCGUCGCUCCUACCGAUUGAAUGAUCCGGUGAAUAAUUCGGACUGCAGCAGUGUUCAGUUCCUGAACGUUGCAGCGGAAAGUUUAGUGAACCUUAUCACUUAGAGGAAGGAGAAGUCGUAACA
rnacentral:rRNA from 1 species